GGAUCUGCUUUCUGUUUGCAGACUGGACAAACUGACCAAGCGUGCCGGCUCUGUGGUCGGCAUGAAGCUGGACUCUCUGGUGACGGUGGCAGAGGCGAGGACACUG